CUGGCCAACCUCAACUUUUUAUAGCAGUCUGGUCAUAUCUCAAAAUAUAUCACUUCAGUUAAAGCCUUGUAAAAUAACUAGUGUCUAUUAGAGACCUGUCAAGUGUCUCCUUAAAAGCAGAGCUUCAAUUCUAGCUCCCCAGAACACGGAAUCAAGUUGCUGGAAUGAAGUCUGAAUCUCAAACCAAAAUUAGGAAGAUUCUAACCCUAAGAAGAGACUUGCCAGAGACCCCUGAUGACUCCGUGAGGUCAGGUGAACAAAAAUCAUUUGUGUUGGUACCAAGACCCCAAUUGUUGGCAAACAGAGGCUCACUUCAGGUCCCUUUGUGGUCACCAAAAUGUCAACUGGCCAGGAGCCACAGACAGCAGCAGCCAGCAGAGGACAGUAGUGAGCAUGUGCAUCUCCAUGCCUGGCUGGUCCUUGAGGCCAACCCAAGGUCACCAGGACACAAGGCUAAGAAGCAGUACAAGGGCCUGGGCACCAGUGCCAAGAUCUUCUUUAAGACCAGAUUCUAGAAGGAUAAAAAGAUUUACCGGUGGGCAGAAAUGGGUGGCCAUCAAUAAAACUAAAACUCACUCCUAAAGGAGAAGUCUUAUUUGCUAAAAGCACUAAAUGAGGCAGCUUUCCAGGCAUGCUACCCACAGAUGCAGAUCAUUCAUUGUCCUUUUCCAGUCUAUGUAGUCCUGUCCUGGAGACAUACAAGAGCCUUUCUCAGGUACUUUUCCCUCAUAUACAGACACACAUACAGUUGACUCCACAUUUCCAACUUUAUGCUUUUGAACUCAGCAAUUAAUUAUUUCACUGGAGGGUGAGUCAGUGGAGCACCUUGUCCAUGGGCUGAGCCCUCUUGGCUCAUAAACGCCCUUGAACAGAAGGUGGUUGGAGUGAUAAGCUGAAAUACAUUCCACCACAAUUCGGUCUCUACAAUGGGCUUACGCUUGUCUGGGUUUCCACAUUGGAAUAACCCUGGGCAAGA